rnacentral:rRNA from 1 species
AAAACGACUCUCGGCAACGGAUAUCUCGGCUCUCGCAUCGAUGAAGAACGUAGCGAAAUGCGAUAUGUGGUGUGAAUUGCAGAAUCCCGUGAACCAUCGAGUCUUUGAACGCAAGUUGCGCCCGAAGCCUUCCGGCCGAGGGCACGCCUGCCUGGGUGUCAUGC